rnacentral:snoRNA from 1 species
UGAUAAUGGUGAGGGAAAUUUCCAAGCAUACUCUUAAAUCUAUCCCAAGCUUGGUAGAGAUUCUCCCAUUCUUUCUGUCUGAAAUUCAGAAUCUCACUUCUAAAAUG